CCGGUCGGUGGUACAGCCUGCUCCGCCACCGUCACGUGGGCGCCCCCUCUGUGACGUCGGCGUCUUCGCUGUAGCAAAGCUCGGCCUCUGGAAUUCUGAGAACUAAUUUGCUAUUCGGUGACAUAAGAGGGGGAGUGCGCUUUGCUUCCCCGGGGUCUGGGGCUCAUUUCUCCUCUCUUCCCCAUAAACUCAGCUCCUCCGAGCUCAAAACACAAAAGGAAGCGAGAGGUUGGAACCUUUGGGAAAAGUCUGUUAUAUAUAGUAGGUUUCGGGGCGAGUAAGAGAGAGAAAAAAAAAACAACAAUAAACACCACAGCUCUUUCCAGCUAGAAUAUUAGGCACCACGAGAAAAAUAUUUGCCAAGCAGUUUUCGGUGGGUUCAUUUGCUUUAUUUUUAUUUGGGACAGUUUGGGAUUUUUUUUUUCCUUUGUUGGUGUGGUGGUUUGGGACUUGGGGUGGUUGUAUUAUGAUGGUUUUCGGAUUUUUGCUUCUGAUUUUUGCCUUUUGCAACUUUGUGAUGUUACGUAAAUCGUAGGAUCCCGCAUCGGUUGGAUUUUGUUUUGUUUUACCCCUAUGAAAUCUCUCAAGCGGUAUAAGGAAGACGUGUUAUUUUAAUACUGAUAGUGUUGAAAGAAGCUUGAAUUUUUUGUCGUAUGUAAAUUCCAACCCCCACUUUUUUCAGGGGGGCGGGGAAGGGUGUUCAAUUUUCCUUUUCCCCUUGGACUUGUACUGAGAGGACGCUCUCCUGCACUUGAGAGACAUGUUCAAAGGAUUUGUUUUGGUUUGUUUCUUUCCAGGACAGCAAGUGGUGGGUUUACUCUGUUAUUGUUGACUCUUAGGACAAUUCUUGCUGCAAGAAACGUGUGUGUAUGUGUACGCGUACGCUUGUGUUCUACAAAAUUCUGUGAGCCAAAUACAUGUUUGUGUUCUGCUUUUUCUUUAGGUCUUGGUUCCCCCCGCUCCCUCCCAGCUCGUUUCAAGGUCGUUGUUAAAAAUCUCUCCUGUCUGUGUUUAAAGAGACCAGCCGGAGGGAAUUCUAAAGGCCUGCGGUGCCAGUAUCACAGAUACUGCGUGGAUUUAGAACAGACUGCUACAACUACAACGCGCUUCACGCAGCACAGCCCUCUUAGUUUUAGAGCUGAGUUAGGAGGAGGAGGAAAAGGGGGGAAAUCUUUCUUUCUUCCUUCCUUUCUUUUUAAAGGCAAAUGCAGUGCAGAAUCAUUUCACUGUGGGCCUUGGUUUGUUUAUUCAGAACUGCCAGUUUCCCUAUUUAAAUGUUGGUUGGGGUUUUUUCCCCUCCUACUCAUCCCUGAAUGAGGGAGACUCUUGUUUCUUUUAUGUCUCUCUCUUAAAAGAAGGGUGUGAGGGGAAAAUAAUAUUUCAGAUUCCUCAAGUAUUAACCCAAAAUGUUUGGACCAGAAGCAGCUUUCAAAGGUCAGGCUGUUCUGAGCCUUGGCUAUGAAAGUCCUUCAGGCGGACUCAUUAAAUUACAGACGAGUUCUUAAAGGUUCCACAAAAUUUCUGCACAUGUUAAUUUCCAAUAAAGAUAUCUCCCCCAAUAAUCUACCUCUCCAAAUUUGGGUUUAUAGUGGAGAAGUGAGCAGAGAGAUUACUGGCUGUUUCCUGGGAUAUGUGGGGAUCUCUUUCCCAGAAGUCUGUAAGAAGUUCAGAUCUGUUGCUGAAAAUAUCAGCGCAGCCCCCCUUUUGAAAAGGCCGUGUUGGAGUGUUUAGAACCAGGAGAGAUCCAAAGGGGUCGAUUAUUUUCCACAAGGGCUGGAGCUUAGGAAAAAUGCCUAAAGUGUGUCUGUCCCUUUGAAAUCUGAAUAUUUUAAUACUUAUUGACAGAUGGAUUACUGCAGCUUCUGCAGAAAAGCCUGUCUUGUGAAGGAUUUUUGAAAAAUAUACAUAGGCCUAAUCCUGUCACCCUUGUGGAAAUGAACAUUUUACCCCCGAAGACACAUGUUAUCGUUAAAUGCAGAUUCAUUUUGCCAGAAGGCAGACUGUUUUUUUAAAUUGUCCCCUUCCUCCUGAUUUCGAAAGAGUUUUAAAGGAAUCCCAUCGGAUUCUAAAUGACACCCGAUUUUGCUGAAGCGAUCGUCUUUGUGUAUUUCUAUGGGUGAUAAUUUUUGUAUUUUUUAUGAGUAUGUUCCUCAGGUGUAUCUGUGUGGUUUGGAAUGUGAAUUGUGUGGUUCUGCCCUGCUACUGAUUCUGCAAUGUGAUAACUUUUGUGAUGUGGAGUCCCUUUUCUUGUCAAAGUUGACAUCCAGCCUCACUGGGUCCUCCCCACCACCACUUUAAACACACUGCUUGUCCCUCUCGCGUUCUCUUUGCCAUUCCAAUCUUAGCCCCGUGGGGGCGCUGCAGAGCAAAGGGAAAUCGGCUCUCUCUAGCAGUAGAACCAACCAGAGUGGGGGCUGGGAAUGAAUUCACCCUUCUAGUACCUCAGCCCUCUAAUUCUCUGCCAGAAGUCUGUAAAGGAAGACCCCACUAGGCCUGGUUUAUAGAUAAUUAAUCCCAUCACCAGGGUCCUCAGACCCUUUCUGGGGCCAAAUGCCAGAGUCCCACAUUUCUAAUACUCCCCCAGCCCCCAAAUUGAAAGAAAUUAACCAGGAAAUGUUAAAAGAAAAAAAAUUAUUGAAAAUAUUUUAAAGGUAAGGAUUUACAUUUUUGUAGGUCCCCUUCUCUUUUCCAGAUGAAUGGUGAGGAAAAUUGUGUGCCCACCUCUCAAUCUCUUUUCAAUUAUUAGGAAAGUAACUUUAUCAAAUUUUUUAUACCCAUCGAAUUUCUUCCAUAAUGUCCUGCCUUCUCUCAUUUCUUGAUUUCUCCCCAUUAGUAACCAGUUGGCAUCACUCUGUGAACCUCCCUCACCCCAGCACUGAUAGGAUUAAAGAAAGGAUUGACUUGAAUAUAUUCAAAUUCUUUCAAAUCAUCCAUAAGAAGCCCUGAAGAGAGAUUUCAUGUCUGGGGUCUUAUGUGUGAUUCUUGUGAACUUGGAGGGUUAUGUAUCAAACCAGUCCUAUGAUUUAAUGGCUUCUGGCUAUUAAUGCUCAGAGUAGAGGAUCCAGUCAGUCUGUUUGCCUGGUGGUUUGGGCAUGGUAAUAGGUUCUUAAUCACAGGUUCUGGAUGAAUAUAAGCUUUGUUGCAAAAUAAAAUAGCUUGGUCUUAAUAUUACAUCUGUUUAAGGAAAGGAACAGAUUUUGCAUCCAGUUCCCUCACAAACUUCCCCACAAUACAGCCACAGCUGAAAAGGAACUAUCCUUGGAGUAAACACUGUCUUGUCCUCUUUCUAAGGGGACUCACAAGAGGAAAUUGGUUUCACCUGUCAGGAAUUUCUGGCACCUUGGUAGAUCUUGAAACUGUCACAUAAGAGAAUUAUAGAUUUUAGGACUGGAAGGAACUUUGCAGAUCAAUCAACUCCUCGAGGCUUCCUUCUUUCAAGAGGACAGGAGGGGCAUCCCUGGAGGCCUGCGGGACCCCGAGACACAACUGAGAACAGGUCUUUGUGGUUCUCUGGUCCUGUGUUAGAGAAUCAGGAAGAUCUGACUGCCUGGGCUUUGAGGUGGGUGUCUCGUUUUCUGACAGAAUUGAGGAAAGCGAGGCUGCUUUGGGCUCUGUGUGAAUUGUAAACUGGUUCUCAGAACAAACUCCAGGUCACAAUGAGUAUUGAGUUUUGAUGGUCAUUUGGACUUGGUGGUGCCUGUCACCUAUACUGUGGUACUCAACAACUACUUUUGAUGGGUAUGGGAGAUUUUAUGUACCCAUUCAUUUUAUUUCAAAUCCUUCAUUUAGAGCUAUUGUAAACAAGCCCCUUAUAUUAUCCUCGGAGAGAAAAAAGCAUUUUGUUGGUAUGAUUUAGAGAAAUUGAGCAGAAAGUUUUGAGACUUUUUUUUAAAAGAUGAUUUCCAAUCACUACCUUCAGAAACAAGAAGUGUCAACGUUUAAUUUUGAUCCAUAUGCUGCCUGCUUUCAGCCUGUAUUAUUCUGAGACUUUUUUUUUCUUUAGAAACCUUUUCAGCCUAGCUCAGAGUUUACCCCAAAAACACUGAUUUUUUCCAUACUUUUCUCACUAAUUUAAAAUGGAAAUAAAUAUCAGGAGCUUAAAAUAGAGAAGUGAUUGGGGGUGCAGAAUCAUUUGUUUAUUGCAUUCAAUCACUGUUUUGAAUAACAGGGUUUUCACUUCCUUUGAAACCUUAGCAUGAGGGAAAGCAACAGCUGGACCAGGAGGGGGUUGGAGGGAGGAAGGCACUGGAGUGUUUGUAAACUCAGGGUGGCUGGCCCACCCUGCCACUGGCUGCCGGUUGCAGUACUUAGCUGUCUUUACUACCUAAGGCUAGAAGUGGAGAAACUUGAUUUGCGUGUUGUGCCUGCAUGUUUUUUUUUUUUUUUUCUUCUCCACACCGCCCUCUGCACACCUGACCAUGCCAAAGCCUAUUUGAAGCCGGCCUGAUGGCAGGGAGAGCUGGAGAACAGAAGAAUGUGCGGAGGGGGAGGGAGGGAGUACUCGGUACUUUUCCAUUCACAUCUCCACAGUGGCUUUUCUUGUUUAUUUCAGCCUCCACCCGCAGAACCCUUUGAGCUGCCUGAAAUCCGAGUCAUUAAACUGUUCCCUGAGGUCAGACCACAGAUGCCCGGUGCAUGUUUCCUCCAUGUCAAUGUCUAUGUAACACAUGUACAUACAGAGACACAUGCAAAAAACUGUGUAACUCUGCUGGGGCACAGUGUGAGGUAGGGGAAGAAACAAAACAAAACUGGAUUUGUUGCCAGAAGACCUUGGUGUCUAAUUACAGUUCUGCCGGGAACUCCUUAUCUGAUGUGGAACAAAACCACUUGUCAGGACUCAGUCUCCUUAACUGUGUGAAGGCAGAUUCUUCACCAGCUGAGCCACCAGGGAAGCCAAAGAAUACUGGAAUGCAUAGCCUAUCCCUUCCGCGGUGGAUCUUCCCAAUGCAGGAGUUGAACCGGGGUCUCCUGCAUUGCAGGUGGAUUCUUUACCAGCUGAGCUACCAGGGAAGCCCUCUGUCCUCAGCAAUUGUCUGAUCCCACACAACUGAUUUUGUAUCUUUGGAAACUGAGGCCCACACAGAAUGUAUUUGUCGCGCACACUGGACCAGGCUGAGUCAGAUCCAGAACUUUGAUGUCCUGGUUCUAAAUCCACUGUGUUUUUCCAUAGCUUAUCAUUAGAAGAGGAUAUGGGGUGGGCAGAGCUGCCAAAGAGCCAUUUUCUGUGGCCUUACAUUUUCUGUGACCUUCAGAGAAGUCCCCACUUUUGGACUCCUGAGAUGAUCUCCACUGAGGUUCUACAUCAGUCUUAACAGUACAAUGACAGUAUGGAAAGGAGCAGACUGUCAUUCACAAGUUCUGCAUGUUGGUCCCAGUGUAGGACACCGUAUAGGAGUCCUCACAGGUUCCUAUGGUACUGUGACUUAUCACUGUUAAUAAACCUAUAAUUAUCUUA